rnacentral:rRNA from 1 species
CAGUCGCACGCUGAAGCCUACAGCUUGCUGUGGGUGGAUGAGUGGCGAACGGGUGAGUAACACGUGAGUAACCUGCCCCCGAUUUCGGGAUAAGCCCGGGAAACUGGGUCUAAUACCGGAUAUGACCAGAGGACGCAUGUUCUCUGGUGGAAAGUUUUUCGAUCGGGGAUGGGCUCGCGGCCUAUCAGCUUGUUGGUGGGGUAAUGGCCUACCAAGGCGACGACGGGUAGCCGGCCUGAGAGGGCGACCGGCCACACUGGGACUGAGACACGGCCCAGACUCCUACGGGAGGCAGCAGUGGGGAAUAUUGCACAAUGGGGGAAACCCUGAUGCAGCGACGCAGCGUGCGGGAUGACGGCCUUCGGGUUGUAAACCGCUUUCAGCAGGGAAGAAGCGAGAGUGACGGUACCUGCAGAAGAAGUACCGGCUAACUACGUGCCAGCAGCCGCGGUAAUACGUAGGGUACGAGCGUUGUCCGGAAUUAUUGGGCGUAAAGAGCUCGUAGGUGGUUGGUCACGUCUGCUGUGGAAACGCAACGCUUAACGUUGCGCGGGCAGUGGGUACGGGCUGACUAGAGUGCAGUAGGGGAGUCUGGAAUUCCUGGUGUAGCGGUGAAAUGCGCAGAUAUCAGGAGGAACACCGGUGGCGAAGGCGGGACUCUGGGCUGUAACUGACACUGAGGAGCGAAAGCAUGGGGAGCGAACAGGAUUAGAUACCCUGGUAGUCCAUGCCGUAAACGUUGGGCACUAGGUGUGGGGGGCAUUCCACGUUCUCCGCGCCGUAGCUAACGCAUUAAGUGCCCCGCCUGGGGAGUACGGUCGCAAGGCUAAAACUCAAAGGAAUUGACGGGGGCCCGCACAAGCGGCGGAGCAUGCGGAUUAAUUCGAUGCAACGCGAAGAACCUUACCAAGGCUUGACAUACACCGGACCGGGCUGGAAACAGUCUUUCCCUUUUUGGGCUGGGGUACAG